GUUUCGCUGACAAAUGUUCUCUCUCCUCAGACAGAGCUGAGCCCCUAAAAUGUGAGAAGCCUCUCGGGACUGGCUUUCUCAAGAAGACUACGUGGCUACCACACAAUUCCCUUGAAGAGGGGCGCCUGCAUUUCCCUGGAUGGACCCAGAUGCUGCCUCCACAAGGAGGGCACGUGAAACAUCAGAAGAAUUGAGAAGACUCUAACAGACAACGUAGUGGUUAAGAGGAGGGGACUCUGAAGUCAGAUUGCCUGGGUUCAAGUCUGACUCCACCACCUGCUGGCUGAGUGGAUCUUUGUGCUGAUUACUCAGCUUCUCUGAAAGGGGUUCCUGAAACACCGAGGCUGGAGGAAUUGUAAGAGCCUACACAACUCACUACUGGGAGACUGCCCCACCUGCAGUCCACCCCAGAGUGGCUCCUCCAUGACCUCUGGCUGCGAUGAGCGGACCUUGCUGUCACAGCGCCAGGUUUUCUUGGCAGUCUGGCCCUGGAGAGGCUGCCAGGGGCUCUGGCAUUUGCUCUUGUUUGUUAUUACGCAAAGUCUUGCUCCACUCCUUGGUGAAAGCUUGCAAACCAAAACUAUCUCAUUUCCCAGCGACAAACAGGUUGAGGGAGGGGGGGAGAAUACCAGGGCGAACACCUUUUGAAAGCACAGCUUUUCCCUGGAUUCUCCGGAAGAGCGUCUUUUCACCCCAGUGUCCACAAGCUCUGACUUUGUUUCUGGGGCCAUUGUGGUUGGCUCUGCCCUCCAAAAAAAGACAUUUCUUGAUGAAUUUUUCCUCCCUGUUCUUCUCUCCUUCAGUGGGGUUCCCCUCCUCCAUCUCCACCAUCUUUUUAAAAGGAUGAGGCUAACAUGUUUUUUUCAAAUAAAUGGAUGUUCCCAUUUAUGGUUAGACUCUGGAGUGCCUAAUCUACCAUUUACCUGUUGUGUGACAGAGGGCAAGUUACUUAACCUCUCUGAGCCUGAGUUUUCUCCAGUGAUUAAAACAGUACCUACUGCACAGGGUGGUCGUGAGAAGUCAAUGUGGGGCAACUCUCUCACUCCAUGCGAAUAUUUGGGAAUAGUUUACAAUUAAUACAGAAAGCAGAUUCUUAUCCUCCAGUGAGAUAGGAAUGGUUUUCCCUUUAGAAACACCUUCUAGCACUUUAGACACCAACAUAGGCUCUCUCCAGUUUUGUGCAAGAAAGUUCCACUUGGCACCUGUAGGAUAAGCAACUACUUAGGGCCUGGUGGAAGGUUCCUAUCCCGAAUACUUUUAGCAUAAAGAUAAGGGAACUUGGUGUGCCCAACCUAGUCUACUGUGUAAUAAAUAUAUUUAAAAACAUUCCGACUCUGCUCUUCAUUUUUACAACACCAUUGUGUAAGAGGGGAAGGCCAUACAGGUUUCUUUAAGAGUUAUCACAACUAGAAGGACCUGCAACUAAGAUAUACAACUGUGCAGGGAGGGUUUGGGGAGAUAAAGCAGAAAAAAAAAAAA
rnacentral:lncRNA from 1 species